UAUGUGUCACUCACACGUUUAUGUCUAAUUUUCAGCAAGCUUUUGUCACAAUGUAUUGUUAUAUAUGCCAUUGUAGUGGAAGCAGGAGGACUGAUCGCAGACUUGGGAACCAGACAUAUUCCACCCAGUAUCCGUUACUUCUACUAAGGGAAAAUAUAGUGGACAGCCAGCCUUUCGUUCCAGCACUACCCGACAAGUGGUGCUAAGGAUCUUCUAGAGAUACAGCUUCAGCAGACGUUCCUUUAAAGUGAGCAUCAGUACCGUACAGCUUUAUUGAGACUCCCACAGGGUUUUCAUGCAUUCCUUUGUUUGUACAGUGGACACAAGUCAACCAACCACAGUGAGGAUAGUGAAGGCAUCCAAUCACACUAAGAAGGUUAAUUAAAUUACAGUACCAUGUGAACAAGGAAGGUGGG